rnacentral:rRNA from 1 species
GACGAACGCUGGCGGUGUGCUUAACACAUGCAAGUCGAACGGUAAGGCCCUUUCGGGGGUACACGAGUGGCGAACGGGUGAGUAACACGUGAGUAACCUGCCCUCAUCUCUGGGAUAACAGUCGGAAACGGUUGCUAAUACUGGUUAUGAGCUUGCAAGGCAUCUUGUGGGUUGGAAAGAUUUUUUUUGGUUGGGGAUGGACUCGCGGCCUAUCAGCUUGUUGGUGAGGAAGUGGCUCACCAAGGCUUCGACGGGUAGCCGGCCUGAGAGGGCGACCGGCCACAUUGGACCUGAGAUACGGCCCAAACUCCUACGGGAGGCAGCAGUGGGGAAUAUUGCACAAUGGACGGAAGUCUGAUGCAGCAACGCCGCGUGCGGGAUGACGGCCUUCGGGUUGUAAACCGCUUUCAAUUGUGACGAAGCUUUUUUGUGACGGUAGCAGUAGAAGAAGCCCCGGCUAACUACGUG